rnacentral:rRNA from 1 species
ACGAGCUGUGAAGUUUUCGGAUGGAUACACUUAGUGGCGGACGGGUGAGUAACGCGUGGGUACCUGCCUCACACUGGGGGAUAACAGUUAGAAAUAGCUGCUAAUACCGCAUAAGUCCGCAUGGAAAAAACUCCGGUGGUGUGAGAUGGACCCGCGUCUGAUUAGCCAGUUGGCGGGGUAACGGCCCACCAAAGCGACGAUCAGUAGCCGGCCUGAGAGGGUGAACGGCCACAUUGGGACUGAGACACGGCCCAAACUCCUACGGGAGGCAGCAGUGGGGAAUAUUGCACAAUGGGGGAAACCCUGAUGCAGCGACGCCGCGUGAGUGAAGAAGUAUUUCGGUAUGUAAAGCUCCAUCAGCAGGGAAGAAGUGACGGUACCUGAAUAAGAAGCCCCGGCUAACUACGUGCCAGCAGCCGCGGUAAUACGUAGGGGGCAAGCGUUAUCCGGAUUUACUGGGUGUAAAGGGAGCGUAGACGGCAAGGCAAGUCUGAAGUGAAAGCCCGGUGCUUAACGCCGGGACUGCUUUGGAAACUGUUUAGCUGGAGUGCCGGAGAGGUAAGCGGAAUUCCUAGCGUAGCGGUGAAAUGCGUAGAUAUUAGGAAGAACACCAGUGGCGAAGGCGGCUUACUGGACGGUAACUGACGUUGAGGCUCGAAAGCGUGAGGAGCAAACAGGAUUAGAUACCCUGGUAGUCCACGCCGUANACGAUGAUUGCUAGGUGUAGGUGGGAUGNCCAUCGGUGCCGCAGCUAACGCAAUAAGCAAUCCACCUGGGGAGUACGUUCGCAAGAAUGAAACUCAAAG